rnacentral:rRNA from 1 species
GGAGGGUGCAAGCGUUGUCCGGAUUUAUUGGGUUUAAAGGGGUGCGUAGGUGGCGUGUUAAGUCAGUGGUGAAAGCCUGCAGCUCAACUGUAGAGGGUGCCAUUGAUACUGACAUGCUUGAGUAUGGACGAGGUAGGCGGAAUUUGUGGUGUAGCGGUGAAAUGCAUAGAUACCACAAGGAACACCGAUAGCGAAGGCAGCUUACUGGACCAUAACUGACACUGAGGCACGAAAGCGUGGGGAGCGAACAGGAUUAGAUACCCUGGUAGUCCACGCCGUAAACGACGCUCACUCGAUGUAUGCGAUAUACUGUAUGCGUCCAAGCGAAAGCGUUAAGUGAGCCACCUGGGGAGUACGCUCGCAAGAGUG